CGACCGCUUCUGCACUGCCCUC
rnacentral:miRNA from 12 species